rnacentral:rRNA from 1 species
AGCGAACGCUGGCGGCAGGCCUAACACAUGCAAGUCGAACGAACUCUUCGGAGUUAGUGGCGGACGGGUGAGUAACACGUGGGAACGUGCCUUUAGGUUCGGAAUAACUCAGGGAAACUUGUGCUAAUACCGAAUGUGCCCUUCGGGGGAAAGAUUUAUCGCCUUUAGAGCGGCCCGCGUCUGAUUAGCUAGUUGGUGAGGUAAAGGCUCACCAAGGCGACGAUCAGUAGCUGGUCUGAGAGGAUGAUCAGCCACAUUGGGACUGAGACACGGCCCAAACUCCUGCGGGAGGCAGCAGUGGGGAAUCUUGCACAAUGGGCGAAAGCCUGACGCAGCCAUGCCGCGUGAAUGAUGAAGGUCUUAGGAUUGUAAAAUUCUUACACCGGGGACGAUAAUGACGGUACCCGGAGAAGAAGCCCCGGCUAACUUCGUGCCAGCCGCCGCAGUAA